CCCACCCCGCGCCGUCGCCCUGCCUCCCUUCCUCGCCGUCGCACCGUCUCCCCGCGUCGGCUACCUUCCCCGCUGCCCCACCACAUCCCACCGGCCGCCCAGAAUCGCCACGCUGCUGGCCGCCCCACGCCGUUGCGGAUCCAACCAGGCCCGAGGGAGGAGAUUAGCCGGCUCUCUUCCUCCUCUCCGGCGAGGCCUGGGCGUCCCCUCCUACGGCGCGGACCAGCCACCCCGGAUUCCAACCCUCGCCGCCACCACCUCCACUCUACACCGCGGGUGGAUCCAGGCUGCCACUGCCGGUGCCGCGCCCCUGGGUUCCCCACCGCGGGUGGAUCCGGGCCGCCACUGCCGGCGCCGUGCCCCUGUCUGAACUGCACAGCACGCAGUGCAGGCGACUGUGGCAUGCAGUGCAGCUCGCCCCGGCAUGCAGCUCGGCCCCCGCCCUAGCGUGCAGGCACCCUCACGUGCAACAUCGAUGGGCUGGAGGUCCGACAUCUUCCUGGCCUCCCCUCUCCCCUGGCCAUAUCCACCCGUUCUCGAGGCGUGACUCCGACGCCGACGAGCUGCAUCGCCCAUUCCCUGCUCACUGAUUUGGUUGCCUGUGGCUGUGUGUCAUGCAUCCCCGUGCCUCGAAUGACAAGAUGUGUGGCACCUGCGGGCGUCCAGUACGACCAACGUCGGCGUGCAGUGCGGCCAACGACAACAUGCAGUAGGGCAUACGACGACGUGUAGUUCGGUGACCCUCCCAUGCGCCACAACAACCUCGAGUAGCAGCGCGGCUGGGAGUGGGCUGCGGUAACCAUGAGUAGCUACAUCUCUUCUUGGACAAACUUCUUCAAAAGGUUGUCGUUCUCAUUCGUUUUAUUUGCAGUCACUUGCAGUUUGGCGCACCUGGACGAGCAGCUAGCUUAUUUGUGUUCUCGGGCAAUCUACGUCUCGGUGCAAUUAAGUUUCAGGUUGGCAACCCCAAUUCGUUUUGCCAGGCCAUUUGCAGUUCGUCGGCGGGCAGAGUUGUAGUGCCUGUGUGCCAUGUAGUAACCCCACGAGGGUUAUAUUGUAAUUUUUUGUCAGAGUUUGUUUCUGCAAAAUUGCGGUGAUCAUCUGCAGACGAGUUCAUCUAGGAGCAGUCAUAUGAACUCCCGUAGAGGUUCAUCUAGGAGAUGUACUUAUUAUAGUUUGUUUGAAAUUAUCAAGGACAAAAAAAAGAAUUAACUUGUUGCAAACCUUAUGCUCACUGAGAAAACCACACGUCCACUGUGUAAAAACACAUGAUGGACACAUGAAG
rnacentral:rRNA from 1 species